UCACUUCACAGUUUAAAGUGUUUUUUUAAAAAGUAAAAGAAAACCACCCGAAACACUUAUUUCAGUGUAAUUCCGUGUCUGACACAUUCAGGUAAAAGUGCGUAACCUCCUCACAGCUUCCUGUCCUCCCCCCUCCCUGCUGCAGAGGUGGGCCGUUCCCUCUGCUCUGCUCCUGUGUGGGACGAACCAUGUGAGAGCUGCGGGGGUGCUGCUGCUCUGCUGCGUCAGACCACCUGCUGAGGCUGCGGCUGACAUGACUGAACACAGAUCAGAUCCUCCUCCGUCCUUCAGGCUCCGUCAUGUUCGACUCGCUGUAACACACUGACGGCAGACAGCUGCAGCUGCUGUGCACAGGAGCACCAACUUUCAACGAUGCAGAUUUCUGUGUCUGAAUAAAACCAGAGAAAGAUUUAAACUGGAGUUUCAC